AGCUCCAAUAGCGUAUAUUAAAGUUGUUGCAGUUAAAAAGCUCGUAGUUGGAUUUCUGCUCAAGACGACCGAUCCGCCUUCUGGUGUGAUUCUGGUUCGACUUAGGCAUUUUUCUGGGGAACGUAUCUGCACUUGAGUGUGUGGUGCGGUAUCCAGGACAUUUACUUUGAGAAAAUUAGAGUGUUUCAAGCAGGCAUCUGCCUUGAAUACUACAGCAUGGAAUAAUAAUAUAGGACUUCGGUUCUAUUUUGUUGGUUUCUAGAACUGAAGUAAUGAUUAAUAGGGAUAGUUGGGGGCAUUCGUAUUUAACUGUCAGAGGUGAAAUUCUUGGAUUUGUUAAAGACGAACUACUGCGAAAGCAUUUGCCAAGGAUGUUUUCA
rnacentral:rRNA from 1 species